CUUACCCCUAGAGGCAUUACAGGUGUGGCUGCAUGUCAAAUGUGCAAAAGUAUGUGACAGAGUGGAAAGAGGCUAUGUCUAUGCUCAGUGUUCUGGCCUAUGACCAUGUGAACCUGAGACCACCACCAGU
ensembl:snoRNA LOC120098006 small nucleolar RNA SNORA17